UUUUUUGUACGUUUGGUUUUCGAGUGCUAACAACGAAUUGUAUGGACAGUCGUUCGCGUGCAGCGGUGGCGAAAGGAAGAAAAAGUGCGAUUAUGGGGGCUGCCAGUGAAACACAGAAACUUUGCUUGUGCGAACUCGUGAAUGUUUUCCUUUGAAAAUGUGUGUUGCUGUCGUCCAGAGGGGCGGUGGAGGGUGCACAUAUUCGAAAAGUGUGCGCGCGUGUUUAAAUUCGUACAAGGUGAAAGCAAAGAGAAUCAUCAGUUAUACUAUAAAAACAAUAAACAAUUAUGCGGACAAUAUCGCAAGCUGAAAUAAACAAAAAUUGUGAGAGGUGUUUGAUACUCGGUAUUACGUAUGCAUGUGAAAGAUUCCAAGAUAAAUAAAUUUCAUACAAAUCCAGUUUAAUAUUUUGUUAUUCUGUGAAAUUUGUUACAAAACGGAAGCAACAAAAAUUAACACUGGAAAGCGUGCACGAAAGGAUAACACCGUGGCAAAAUUCGCGCAUUUGGCGCCUGACACGCAAACGACAGCAAAGUUCAACUUCCUAGAAAUACUAUGCACCAUUGUCCACGACGACGGCGGCGACGGCGUUGGCGAUGAUGUUGACGUUCGACGACUUUGCUGGCUUCGUCAUCGCUGGCUCGACGAGUGCGUCAUGCAAGUAACGUUCACUUCAGUUUCUGACCUUUCGGCACAAAUACCAUAGCUUCGCUAUAAAAAGAUCUUUUGGCUGCUGGCAGUGUGGGGAUUUCAUUCAUAAACACUUUUCGGCAAACGACAAUGGUCUGCACUGCGAAAAGCGAGGGAAGCCAAAUUUCACAAGUUGAAAAUUUCAAACAGAAAAUAAAAAUGUAUGUAGUAUGUGCAAAUGUAUCCAUUUGUAAUGUGUUCAUUCAAAUUGAGUACAAAGAUUGAGUAUAUAGGGAGUGUAAAGGGAUAUAUGUACGUAUGUAUGUAUAGUAUAUACAUAAAUAUUAUGUGCUCUAAAUUGAGAGUACCCUAGACACAUACACAGCACAUCAGUUUGUCUGCCAAGAGAAAGAAUUCAGCAGAAAAAAUUACCUCAAAUUUUUCCAAAAAUCCGAGAAUUUAGGUGAAUAAACUUUCGAUCAGGGAUGCUCAACAAACUAGUAUAUGAAUUGAUUUCGUUUUGUUCAUGGCCGAAAAUAACAUAUCAAAAUAAUUUCGUUACGUUUCAAGCUCUUCGCACUCACGUGUUUUGGGCUCUCUCUUCUUAUUGCGGCAAAUACGUUUCGCUUCUCUCACCAGUUCUCUAUAAUGAUCACACAUGGCUCGCGUUGUGCCUCGCCGCAGCAUUGCCCUGCAGGUGACAUCUUUUUUCCCUGCAGUUUCUUGACACUCCUCAUCGUACGCGUUGUUCUUUCGGGCAAUAUCAUUCUGAAGAAAACACUCAAUCUUAUCGCUAUUUUCAAUAAAGAAAUUAAUAUAUGCAGGGCUGCCAAGUUGGCUCGAACCGUGCCAUUUUUUACCCUAUUGUACUUUAAAUCGCAUUUCAUUUUCCAAUUUGGCACAAACUGCUUUUAUCACCGAUGAUUCCUUAAAGCUUUGGGAUCGAUACUAAACCGUUUUGGGCUACCUUAAUCUACCUACAGUAAGAAGUAAGGAAGAAAUCAACACCAUGUGUUAUGCCCAAAAAAAAAAAAACCACAACGAGAAUGCGCAAAGAGCAAAUAGCAAAGAGCUUUUUUUUUGAAAAUGGAAUUGCAAACUUGCCUCUACAAAGUUUUUAUUACAAAGUUACUGAGUGUAAAUAAAUAGAGGUCUCAAUUAAAUGAAUAGUGUAAUACGCUUAAAAGCUGUGUAGUAAAAAUAUAGCGUCAUUUGGUACAUAAAAACAACAACUGGUGUGUUUAUUGGACUUGGCUGUCACAAAGCCAAUAAAGUAGAAGCACACGUAACGUUAAUAACAGACAUUUUGUAAAUGUAAUAAAAAAUUUUAUUUAAAAUUUUGAUUGGCAUAUAAAUUUUCCGAAUUAUUGGAUUGAAAUUAUACUGCAAAUUUUUUAUUUACAGUCUUCAUAUGUAUUGCUUU